UGGGGAAUAUUGGACAAUGGGGGAAACCCUGAUCCAGCAAUGCCGCGUGAGUGAAGAAGGCCUUAGGGUUGUAAAGCUCUUUCGCCCGCGAAGAUAAUGACGGUAGCGGGAGAAGAAGCCCCGGCUAACUCCGUGCCAGCAGCCGCGGUAAUACGGAGGGGGCUAGCGUUGUUCGGAAUUACUGGGCGUAAAGCGUACGUAGGCGGAUGCGCAAGUUGGGGGUGAAAUCCCGGGGCUUAACCUCGGAAUUGCCCUCAAAACUGCACGUCUUGAGACCGAGAGAGGUAAGGGGAAUUCCUAGUGUAGAGGUGAAAUUCGUAGAUAUUAGGAAGAACACCAGUGGCGAAGGCGCCUUACUGGCUCGGUACUGACGCUGAGGUACGAAAGCGUGGGGA
rnacentral:rRNA from 1 species